ACAUGACUAAUUCAGUUGGUAGAGCAUGAGGCUCUCAGGGUCGUGGGUUCGAGCCCCACGUUGUGCA